AGUGAACGCUGGCGGUAGGCCUAACACAUGCAAGUCGAACGGCCGCACAGGAGAGCUUGCUCUCUGGGUGGCGAGUGGCGGACGGGUGAGGAAUACAUCGGAAUCUACUCUGUCGUGGGGGAUAACGUAGGGAAACUUACGCUAAUACCGCAUACGACCUACGGGUGAAAGCAGGGGACCUUCGGGCCUUGCGCGAUUGAAUGAGCCGAUGUCGGAUUAGCUAGUUGGCGGGGUAAGGGCCCACCAAGGCGACGAUCCGUGGCUGGUCUGAGGGGGUGUUCCGCCACACUGGAACUGAGACACGGUCAGACUCCUACGGGAGGCAGCAGUGGGGAAUAUUGGACAAUGGGCGCAAGCCUGAUCCAGCCAUACCGCGUGGGUGAAGAAGGCCUUCGGGUUGUAAAGCCCUUUUGUUGGGAAAGAAAUCCAGCUGGCUAAUACCCGGUUGGGAUGACGGUACCCAAAGAAUAAGCACCGGCUAACUUCGUGCCAGCCGCCGCCGGAA
rnacentral:rRNA from 1 species